rnacentral:tRNA from 1 species
AAUGAAGUGCCUGACGAAAAGGGUUAUUUUGAUAGAAUAAAUUAUGUAACCUAGUUACCUUCAUUA